GGAGCAGCAAAGACAGUUCAAUUCCACAGAAAGUAGCAUGGAUUUUAUGUUAGUGUCAGAUCCUCAACGUGAUCUGUCAUCCCCCAAAUAAAAUAGCUUCUACAACAAGUAAAGAGGGAAAGCUCUGAUGUGUUUGAGUGAGCUGAUCUGUCUUGCUAAAAGGCUGUUUGGUUUACACCCUCUUGGGUAGGGCUGACUUGGCUCCACUUAUUUCAGAUGAUUAAUGCAGGGUAAAUUCAGAUUUUUAAAAACCUCUUGAAUAUAUUCCUCACUAUAUUAUUUGAAUUUCUCCAGUCAGUUGUAGGAGAGAAUGUGACUUGAAGACUAUUAGCUGAAAGCCCCUCAUUCAGUUCUGUUAUACAGAGGGCAUUCACUGGAAGAAGGCUGGUGGGAGUUGGAGUCCUGAGUGCACGCACCACUGAGUCCUUCCAGUUUGUGCACAAAAAUUCUGGACCUUGAGUUCCUAGCUAUCUGCAGUUGCCAAUUUAUAGAAAGGGUGAAAUGAGCAUUUCCAGCUAAAGAAUAGAUUAUUAACAUUUACCACAGAAGUGCUUCAGCAUUCUAAAAGGAUUAGAUUACACAUUAAGCUAUUUUACAUGCCAAUCUAUUAAUGCCUUACAUUAACCCACUAGCAGGUUGCUGGGUCCUCAGUAGAGCCCUGUGCAGCCCUGAUUCUGUUUUUUGUAUCUGGUGAUGCUGAGUGAUAACUGUGUCUGCCUAUCUUGUACUACUGACUAUCCAUUCAGACAGAUCUUACAUUAAGUAACCAUGUGGAUGAACAACUGAUUAAUCAAUGAUAUAUGUACGUAUAUAUUUGAAGAGCAAUAGUGUCUGUUAUAAAGACUUUGAAAGUCUUAUUUGUAAAAUUUAUAUGGUAUAAUUUUAUGUAUAUUCAUAAAUCUUGCACUGUAUUCUGUUAAAAUAUUGGUGCAUGAGUUUAUUUUCAAGGUAUAAAAUAAUUUAAAAUCUUUUGUUAUGGGUCAAAUAAAUCUCACUAUGUAAACAU
rnacentral:lncRNA from 1 species